rnacentral:rRNA from 1 species
UACGUAGGCAGCAAGCGUUGUUCGGAAUUACUGGGCGUAAAGAGUGUGUAGGCGGUGUUCUAAGUCUGUUGUGAAAUCUCCCGGCUUAACUGGGAGGGUGCGGCGGAAACUGGAAUGCUAGAGGAUGGGAGAGGUAAGCGGAAUUCCUGGUGUAGCGGUGAGAUGCGUAGAUAUCAGGAGGAACACCUGUGGUGUAGACAGCUUACUGGACCAUUUCUGACGCUGAGACACGAAAGCGUGGGUAGCAAACAGG